ACCUGUGGCGAAGGCGGUGUACCAGAACACGUUCGACGGUGAGGGAUGAAAGCUGGGGGAGCAAACCGGAUUAGAUACCCGGGUAGUUCCCAGCUGUAAACGAUGCAAACUCGGUGAUGCAUUGGCUUGUGGCCAAUGCAGUGCCGCAGGGAAGCCGUUAAGUUUGCCGCCUGGGAAGUACGUACGCAAGUAUGAAACUUAAAGGAAUUGGCGGGGGAGCACCACAAGGGGUGAAGCCUGCGGUUCAAUUGGAGUCAACGCCAGAAAUCUUACCCGGAGCGACAGCAGAAUGAAGGUCAAGCUGAAGACUUUACCAGACAAGCUGAGAGGUGGUGCAUGGCCGUCGCCAGCUCGUGCCGUGAGAUGUCCUGUUAAGUCAGGUAACGAGCGAGACCCCUGCUCCUAGUUGCUACCGUUACUCUCUGGAGUAGCGGAGCGAAUUAGUAGGACCGCCGCAGUUAAUGCGGAGGAAGGAAGGGGCCACGGCAGGUCAGUAUGCCCCGAAACUCUGGGGCCACACGCGGGCUGCAAUGGUAUUGACAAUGUGUUCCGAAUCCGAAAGGAGGAGGCAAUCAUCAAACAAUACCUCAGUUAUGAUUGAGGGCUGUAACUCGCCCUCAUGAAUAUGGAAUCCCUAGUAACUGCGCGUCACUAUCGCGCGGUGAAUACGUCCCUGCUCCUUGCACACACCGCCCGUCGUUUCAUUGAAGUUGGCAUUUAGUGAGGUAGUGUCUUGUUGGCAUUAUCGAGCUUGAGGUACAGUGACAAGGGAAAAGUCCGUAACAA
rnacentral:rRNA from 1 species